AAGCGCUUGCAACCAGACUUGCAUGCGGUUGAUCAUCCGGUGUUCUCACCGGUGCACUUGACCGUGUACAGGCCAGCAUCGGUUCAGGUGGCGGGAUAAAGGCCUUGGGAAUGUAGCUUCUUUCGGGGAGUGUUAUAGACCAUUGCAUAAUACCCUGGGCCGGACUGAGGUUCGCGCAUCUGCAAGGAUGCUGGCGUAAUGGU
rnacentral:rRNA from 1 species